UACAGAGGGGGCAAGCGUUGUUCGGAAUUACUGGGCGUAAAGGGCGCGUAGGCGGCCUCUUAAGUCGAACGUGAAAUCCCCGGGCUCAACCCGGGAACUGCGUCCGAUACUGGGGGGCUUGAAUCCGGGAGAGGGAUGUGGAAUUCCAGGUGUAGCGGUGAAAUGCGUAGAUAUCUGGAGGAACACCGGUGGCGAAGGCGACAUCCUGGACCGGUAUUGACGCUGAGGCGCGAAAGCCAGGGGAGCAAACGGG
rnacentral:rRNA from 1 species